AAAACAUUAUCAACCUUAUUUUUUAAAGGGCUUUAUGUUUCUGAGAAGUUUUAGAUUCACAGCGAAAUUGAGAGGAAGGUCCAGAGAUUGCCCAUAUGCGCCUUGCCCCCGCAAGCAGAGC